rnacentral:rRNA from 1 species
UACAGAGGUCUCAAGCGUUGUUCGGAUUCAUUGGGCGUAAAGGGUGUGUAGGUGGCGCGCUAAGUCGGGUGUGAAAUUUCGGAGCUUAACUCCGAAACUGCAUUCGAUACUGGCGUGCUUGAGGACUGGAGAGGAGACUGGAAUUCAUGGUGUAGCAGUGAGAUGCGUAGGGAUCAUGAGGAAGACCAGUGGCGAAGGCGGGUCUCUGGACAGUUCCUGACACUGAGACACGAAGGCCAGGGGAGCAAACGGG